UACAGAGGGUGCAAGCGUUGCUCGGAAUCAUUGGGCGUAAAGGGUAGGUAGGUGGUCUCGUUUGUCUGGGGUGAAAGCCCAGGGCUUAACCCUGGAAGUGCCCCAGAAACGGCGAGACUGGAGUCUUGGAGAGGGUCGUGGAAUUCCCGGUGUAGCGGUGAAAUGCGUAGAGAUCGGGAGGAACACCAGCGGCGAAGGCGGCGACCUGGACAAGUACUGACACUCAACUACGAAAGACGUGGGGGAGCAAACAGG
rnacentral:rRNA from 1 species